rnacentral:sRNA from 1 species
AGAGUUCUCUUAUUAAAAUAACUGGGGGCAGCAGAACAUUCUUUUUAGGUACUGUUGUCCAUUGUCCUGGGAGUCCAGGGGGCUGUGAUCUCCUUCCUCCCCCUUCCCCUGUCCCCAGCAAAUGGGCUUUAAAGGUCUGCAGCCAGGUUACUGAUGAGGAGGCCUAGGUUCCCUUCCUCUUUGCUUCUGGGAGCAUCUUGAGCAGUGCAGAGUGGCUUCCCAGCCCCAGAUGGCAGGAUUGGGGUGGGUUUGGGAUCUGCUGCCUUUGCUCAGUGUGCAGGGUUGGGAUGGAAAUGGGGGAUAGGCUAGGGCCUCUGCAUUAGGCUGCCUUCUUAGGCAGCUGGGCUUUCACUCCCAGCUCCUCUUCCAUUUCCACGAUGUCCUUCUUCCUAGGCACUGCGAGGGGAGGAGAAAAGGGGCUUUGCAGAGGCUGGGGUGUGCCUGGGAGUAUUCCCAGGAAGUGCCUGGCUGGUGAAACAACCAGGGAGCUGCUCCUGGGAGCUGGGCUGAGGCUUUGCUGGGCUGCCUCUCCCAGUCACCCUUCUCCCAGCCCCCACCACGCCUUCCCCCGUGGGGAGGGGCAGGGGGCUGGAGGAACACAGCUUCCCCCUGUUCCAGCAGAGAAAUGCUGGCUGGAUGCCUCCCCUAGGGUUCCCAGGCUGACUAGGGUGUGGCAGGCCUUCUGAUGGAGCCCACUCAUGCUGGGCCGCUGCCCAGGGGCUUUGUGGCACCUAGGUCGAGAUGGUACUCAGGCCAGGGGUCAGGAUUCCUGGGUGCUCUGGUCCUGGUGCCUCUGUCCCAUCUUUAGGCUGGGAUUCCUGCCACCUUGCUGCUCUGGGGCUCAAAUACUUUGAGACCAGGCUAUAGGCUUCUCCCACUGACUCUCCUUUCCCUCCCUGCGGUCUCCUCUCUCUCCAGAGAUGCCCUGUAUCCAAGCCCAAUAUGGGACACCAGCACCAAGUCCAGGACCCCGUGACCACCUGGCAAGCGACCCCUUGACCCCUGAGUUCAUCAAGCCCACCAUGGACCUGGCCAGCCCCGAGGCGGCCCCCGCUGCCCCCACUGCCCUGCCCAGCUUCAGCACCUUCAUGGACGGCUACACAGGAGAGUUUGACACCUUCCUCUAUCAGCUGCCGGGAACAGUCCAGCCAUGCUCCUCAGCCUCCUCCUCAGCCUCCUCCACAUCCUCGUCCUCAGCCACCUCCCCUGCCUCUGCCUCCUUCAAGUUUGAGGACUUCCAGGUGUACGGCUGCUACCCCGGCCCCCUGAGCGGCCCGGUGGAUGAGGCCCUGUCCUCCAGUGGCUCUGACUACUAUGGCAGCCCCUGCUCGGCCCCAUCACCCUCCACGCCCAGCUUCCAGCCGCCCCAGCUCUCUCCCUGGGAUGGCUCAUUCGGCCACUUCUCGCCUAGCCAGACUUACGAAGGCCUGCGGGCAUGGACAGAGCAGCUGCCCAAAGCCUCUGGGCCCCCACAGCCUCCAGCCUUCUUUUCCUUCAGUCCUCCCACCGGUCCCAGCCCCAGCCUGGCUCAGAGCCCCCUGAAGUUGUUCCCCUCACAGGCCACCCACCAGCUGGGGGAGGGAGAGAGCUAUUCCAUGCCUACGGCCUUCCCAGGUUUGGCAUCCACUUCUCCACACCUUGAGGGCUCGGGGAUACUGGAUGCACCUGUGACCUCAACCAAGGCCCGGAGCGGGGCCCCAGGUGGAAGUGAAGGCCGCUGUGCUGUGUGUGGGGACAACGCGUCGUGCCAGCAUUAUGGCGUCCGCACCUGCGAGGGCUGCAAGGGCUUCUUCAAGGUACUGCGCGGCCCCAGGUGGGGCUUUUUGUUGGAAAUGGAGAGAGGCUGGCUUCAUCCCAUUGGGUCCUGUGGUCUCCCCUGGGUUCUCCUCGUAGCUAAGUCCUGUCCCGCAGGGUGGUAUCAGCCCUGCCAGGUGGGCCGCCUUCCUGGAGACCUGUAGAUGCCAGGGCUGGAAGCUUUCAUUUGCCAGGACACUCAGGCCCAUGGGAUUGCACAGAGCUGGAGGGAGGGGUGAGAUAGGGGCAGAUAGGAGCUGCAGGGGUGCCUGGCGAGCCUCUGGUUUUCCUCUGCCUGUCCUCCCCCAACUCAAGGUUCUAGUGGGAAGGGGUGCCCCCAGGCUCUCAUGUUCCUGGCAUGAGAUGAAAGGAUCCCUGCAGAGGGUUUGGUUCCUGAGGGCUGGGGGUGGACUUGGGAACAGGCUGUGUGUUUGUCCCAGCGAUGGUGCCUGCUUAGCUUCCCAUCCCCACCCCCCAGCCCCUUGGCCCUCUCCUAUCUGCCCUAGGGAGAGGGCAGGCAGACAAGGGCCCAUGAAAAAAUACAGGUGUCUGGACUGCCAGGGAGACCCUGGCCCCCAGUAUUGUGUCCUGGGGUCUUCCUCAGAGCGAGAAACCUCCCCCAGUGUCUUCAAGACUUUUCUCUCCCCACCAACCCCCUAUCUCUCCCUCCCUUGCCACCCAAAUGUUAGAAAAAUAGCUGUGAACAGAGAGCGCUUUUGUCUGCAAUGGCAGCAGGAUCUGGACAGUCCCCUCCCCUAGGUUCCCCCCUCCCCACCCCACACUCUGACAGCCUGUUCCGUGUUGCCCCCCCCCACCCAGCGCACAGUGCAGAAAAACGCCAAGUACAUCUGCCUGGCUAACAAGGACUGCCCUGUGGACAAGAGGCGGCGAAACCGCUGCCAGUUCUGCCGCUUCCAGAAGUGCCUGGCGGUGGGCAUGGUGAAGGAAGGUGUGUGGCUGGGGUGCGGCCCAGCGGGGCAAGGGUAGGCUUGAGUGGAGUGGGACCACAGGGCCCCCAGGCUUCUGCCCUGGAGGACCCAAAGGAGGGCACGUCUUAUUUCCACCCCACCUCUGAACCCCAGGCCUUGGAGGGAGGCAGCCUACACCUGCCUGGAUUGUGAGGGUGGUGGCAGGGGGAGGUUCCUGUAGGGUACCUUGGAUCUCAGGGACUCUGGGUCCUAGGGACUCGGUGGGGCGCAUCUCAGCAGUGGUGUGCACGGCUUGGGCUGAGAGGCCCUUCCUCAGAUCCCUUCCUUCCUCACCCCUACCCAUUCCUUUGCAGUUGUCCGAACAGACAGCCUGAAGGGGCGGCGGGGCCGGCUACCUUCAAAACCCAAGCAGCCCCCAGAUGCCUCCCCUGCCAAUCUCCUCACUUCCCUGGUCCGUGCACACCUGGACUCAGGGCCCAGCACUGCCAAACUGGACUACUCCAAGGUGAGGUCCCACCCCGCAUCUGCCUUGGGGAGGUCUAUGAGCACAUGCAGUGCCUUUGUGCGUGUUGGGAGAGCUACCUCCUCUGGAAGGACUAAAUGAGAAAGGAAGUUUAAAAAAGAAAGAAAGAAAAGUUACUCCCUCUAGUUUGACAGAUCAAAGAGAGGAGCCCCUUCUCGGCUGACCAGAUGGGAAAAUGCACCCCCUCAGGCAGGUGGCCAAUUAGAAAAAUGUGUCCUUCUGGCAGCUGCAACCCUGGGUUAAUAUGUGAGACUUGGCAAGCGAGAGCCUGGGCAGGAUCUCAGAUCCACUCCCACUCCCGGGAUCUGGCAUCCAAGUGUCUGACACAGCCGUAUGUGGCAGUGGGUGCAGGACCCUGCCUGGGGUGCUGACCCCACUGGACCGUCCUCCUAGUUCCAGGAGCUAGUGCUGCCCCGCUUUGGGAAGGAAGAUGCUGGGGAUGUACAGCAGUUCUACGACCUGCUCUCCGGUUCUCUGGAGGUCAUCCGCAAGUGGGCGGAGAAGAUCCCUGGCUUUGCUGAGCUGUCACCAGCUGACCAGGACCUGUUGCUGGAGUCGGCCUUCCUGGAGCUCUUCAUCCUCCGCCUGGCAUACAGGUCUAAGCCAGGCGAGGGCAAGCUCAUCUUCUGCUCAGGCCUGGUGCUACACCGGCUGCAGUGUGCCCGUGGCUUCGGCGACUGGAUUGACAGCAUCCUGGCCUUCUCAAGGUCCCUGCACAGCUUGGUUGUCGAUGUCCCUGCCUUCGCCUGCCUCUCUGCCCUUGUCCUCAUCACCGACCGGCAUGGGCUGCAGGAGCCGCGGCGGGUGGAGGAGCUGCAGAACCGCAUCGCCAGCUGCCUGAAGGAGCACGUGGCAGCUGUGGCGGGCGAGCCCCAGCCAGCCAGCUGCCUGUCACGUCUGUUGGGCAAACUGCCCGAGCUGCGGACCCUGUGCACCCAGGGCCUGCAGCGCAUCUUCUACCUCAAGCUGGAGGACUUGGUGCCCCCUCCACCCAUCAUUGACAAGAUCUUCAUGGACACACUGCCCUUCUGACCCCCGCCUGGGAACACGCGUGCACAUGUGCACUCUCAUAUGCCACCCCACGUGCCUUUAGUCCACGGACCCCCAGAGCACCCCCAAGCCUGGGCUUGAGCUGCAGAAUGACUCCACCUUCUCACCUGCUCCAGGAGGUUGGCAGGGAGCUCAAGCCCUUGGGGAGGGGGAAUGCCUUCAUGGGGGUGACCCCACGAUUUGUCUUAUCCCCCCAGCCUGGCCCCGGCCUUUAUGUUUUUUGUAAGAUAAACCGUUUUUAACACAUAGCGCCAUGCUGUAAAUAAGCCCAGUGCUGCUGUAAAUACAGGAAGAAAGAGCUUGAGGUGGGAGCGGGGUUGGGAGGAAGGGAUGGGCCCCACCUGCCUGGGCAGCCUUUCCAGCCUCCUGCUGGCUCUCUCUUCCUAGCCUCCUUCCACAUGUACAUAAACUGUCACUCUAGGAAGAAGACAAAUGACAGAUUCUGACAUUUAUAUUUGUGUAUUUUCCUGGAUUUAUAGUAUGUGACUUUUCUGAUUAAUAUAUUUAAUAUAUUGAAUAAAAAAUAGACAUGUAGCUGGAA